UCCUACUGUCUCUCUGUCCUGUCCGGUGUCCCCGCUCUAAACACAGCAGCAAACAGGAGCUUAAUGGGUCCACGCCCCAACUCUUAAACACACUAGUGUCAUGAUCUUAACGGGUGAAAAAUUCCAAAGUUACAGCCAAGCUUUCUUCCCAUGUCCACCAAGCUAAAGCUAACAAAAAGAGAAGAAAAGGACGCCAUCUACCCACACACACACCUAAAAAUACACUCUGGAGCACUAAAAACUAAUUAAAUUACACUAAUAAUUACAUUGAAAAAUGCACUGUAAAAUCUUUAUGUCUACCAAGAAUUACAAUGCAAAAUCACUAAAAAUACACUGUAAAUACACUAAGAAUUACACUGAAAAAAUCCAUGUAAAACACCGAGUUUAACACUAUGAAUUCAAUAUCAAGAAAAGAGAAUAGAAUACACACAAUAAAGGUGUGGAGAAUAAACUAAAUUACGCUGACUUGAACUUAGAAUUACAAUGAUCUUUCAAAUGUAAUUACUAUGAAGAUCACGCUGAAACUAAAAAGAGCUAUGCACUGAUACUACAUGGCAGUGGCACACACAACUAACCAAAAAUCAUUAUCAGGCAAGUAUCCAUAAACACCCUGCAAAAAAUACCAAAAAGUAAGAUUAGCAACACGCAUGACAACAAACAGUACCUAAGAAAACAAAAAAAAAUGACCAAAAAAUAAUUAACUACAUGCUCCUUCACUCGGAUUACAUGCUACUGAAAAAGUAAAUUCAGUUGCUGCACACUACAGUGUAAUCAAAUAAAGAUUAGGUAUAAAUACAAUAAGGAUUACGGUGUAACUCCACUAGGAUUACAGUGUAAAACCUACUAAGGAUUAUAAAUCCACCAAAAAUUAUACCAUAAUCAGUGUAAAUCCACUAAGAUCACUAAAAAUUACAGUGUAACUCCAUUAAGAAUUACACUGUAAUCCAAUAAAGAUUACAGUGUAAAUCCACUAAGAUCACUAAAAAUUACAGUGUAACUCCACUAAGAAUUACACUGUAAUCCAAUAAAGAUUACAGUGUAAAUCCACUAAGAUCACUAAGGAUUACAAUGUUCCUUCAAUAAGAAUUACACUCUAAAAAUCAAAGAGUUACAGUGCAUAACCAAUAAGAAUUACACUAUAAAAUCAACUUAAACUACAGUGUAAAUCCAUCAAGAAUUACAGUGUAAAAAACCACUACAAAUUACAGUGUAAAUCCACUGAAAAAUGCAGUGAAAAUCCACUAAGCAGACAACACUUUGUGAACAAGGCCAUACAAAAGUACAAUUCAAAAGCGGCAGUACAAGAAUGUAAAUCUCUUUGCUACUAGAAGAACUUAACCAAAGCAAGAGAAAGGGUUGUUUAUGUUACAACAGUAUUGUGCAUACAGAUUGGGCCAAGUUCAUGGUCAGUGAAAAUUACAUCAUGCAAAGAAAAAAAAAGGCCCACCACGGGCUGCAAACACAAAAUGAACCGGGGCUGAUGCUGCCUAAGAAUUGUGUAAAAAAAACUAUAUGAUGACAGCUGAAUCUAAAAAAAAACACAGGUAGAUGCUAUCAUAAUACCACGGGAAAAAAAAGAGGAUUUGACAUUAUGCAUCUGAAUGCAUGACAGACAGAAUCACCCAUGAACUGGAACACUUGCUAAGAAUUACAGUGUGACUCCACUAAAAAUUACAUUGUAAUCCAAUAAAGAUUACAAUGCAAAUCCGCUUAGAUCACAAAGGAUUACAAUGUAACUCCAAAUAAGAAUUACACUGUAAAAAUCAAGAGUAACAAUGCAAAAACCAAUAAGAAUUACACCGUAAAUUCAACUAAAACUACAGUGUAAAUCCACCAAGAAUUCCAGUGUAAAAACCGACUGAAAAUACAGUGUAAGUCCACUGCAAAUUACAGUGUAAAUCCACUAAAAACCCACUAAAAGUUCUAAAUCAAGUGAAAACCCUAGCAAGCAGGAAAAAAUCCAAUUGAGCCCUUACACGAGUAGCUAAAAUAACUCAUGUGCAAAAUACUGUAGUUGCCCUACCAAUCUUCCUGAGCAACAGGGACAAACUCAAAUGACCAUUUUAAUCUCCUCGUACACAAAACACCACCUAGCCCAUAGAUUCAGGGGAAUUGAUUGCAGCGACAACCACAGAGCAGUCAAAUGUAUACUUGGUACAAAUUUCAGCGGGAAUGGUAGAGGCAAAGUGAUUCAGGGGAAGUGAUUCUGCGCAUGACAACCAGACGAAUUCAAACAACUAAACGAACACAGAGCAAUCGAUCCUACAAAGACAAACCCUAAACUAGCUCAUAAGACAUAUGAGAUUUGAUGCUAGUAACAACUCAUCCACAAAUCUACACCACCAAAAAUCACUGUGGGGAUUACCAGAUGGAAGAUCCCAAAGGGACUAAGCAGCAGAUCUAAUGGACAUAACCGGGGAAAUAGGCCGGGGCGGGAUCGGGGGC
rnacentral:lncRNA from 1 species